AUUGAACGCUGGCGGCAUGCCUUACACAUGCAAGUCGAACGGCAGCACGGGAGCAAUCCUGGUGGCGAGUGGCGAACGGGUGAGUAAUAUAUCGGAACGUGCCCAGUAGUGGGGGAUAACUGCUCGAAAGAGCAGCUAAUACCGCAUACGACCUGAGGGUGAAAGGGGGGGAUCGCAAGACCUCUCGCUAUUGGAGCGGCCGAUAUCAGAUUAGCUAGUUGGUGGGGUAAAGGCCUACCAAGGCAACGAUCUGUAGUUGGUCUGAGAGGACGACCAGCCACACUGGGACUGAGACACGGCCCAGACUCCUACGGGAGGCAGCAGUAAGGAAUAUUGGACAAUGGACGCAAGUCUGAUCCAGCCAUGCCGCGUGAAGGAUUAAGGUCCUCUGGAUUGUAAACUUCUUUUAUAAGGGACGAAAAAAGGUCUUUCUAGAUCGUCUGACGGUACCUUAUGAAUAAGCACCGGCUAACUCCGUGCCAGCAGCCGCAGUAACAC
rnacentral:rRNA from 1 species